UACAGGAGGUGGCAAGCGUUGUUCGGAGUUACUGGGCGUAAAGGGUGCGUAGGCGGUCCUAUAAGUAUGGUGUGAAAUCUCCCGGCUUAACUGGGAGGGUGCGCUAUAGACUGUGGGACUAGAGUGUGGGAGAGGAAAGUGGAAUUCCUGGUGUAGCGGUGAAAUGCGUAGAUAUCAGGAGGAACACCGGUGGUGUAAACGGCUUUCUGGACCAUAACUGACGCUGAGGCACGAAAGCGUGGGUAGCAAACAGG
rnacentral:rRNA from 1 species